GACGAACGCUGGCGGCGUGCUUAACUCAUGCCAGUCGAACGGGCCCGCUCUUUUUUGGGGGCGGGUUGAGUGGCGAAAGGGUGAGUAUCACGUGAGCAACCUGCCCUCCUCUCCUGGAUAACCGCUUGAAAGGGCGGCUAAUACGGGGUGUUCCGGUUGGUCCGCAUGGUCUGGUCGGGAAAGAUUCAUCGUCUUGGUGUUUCGGAGGGGGACGGGCUCGCGGUCUAUCAGCUUGUUGGUGGGUUGCUCUCCAACGCGGCGGUGAAUAGCCGACCGGAUGAGACGAUCGGCCGCACUGCUGCUAAUACUCUU
rnacentral:rRNA from 1 species